rnacentral:rRNA from 1 species
AUGAGACGGGCUCUUAUUUAUGAAUUCAUGCCUAACGAGUCACUGGAGAAAUACAUAUUCUCUGAUGACUCUAAUAUUUUUGAGAAUCUUCUAGUACCAGACAAGCUGCUAGAUAUUGUUGUCGGCAUCGCCAGAGGAAUAGAGUAUUUGCAUCAAGGGUGCAACCAGCGCAUCCUCCACUUUGACAUUAAGCCUCACAAUAUCCUGCUUGACUACAACUUCAAUCCAAAGAUCUCAGACUUUGGCCUUGCAAAGCUGUGCGCAAGGGACCAAAGCAUCGUCACCUUAACAGCAGCAAGAGGCACAAUGGGCUAUAUUGCACGAGAGCUAUAUUCUCGGAACUUUGGGGGAGUAUCGUAG